rnacentral:lncRNA from 1 species
GUGAGAACAUGCAUACAGGGCAUAUAGUGGGAAUGACAGAGGCACCAUUAACCCUAUUACAGCAUUUCAAGUCCCCUCUCCUGCCCACAUCACAUGCCUGGGCAAAUUCAGACAGUUAAGACUCUCUGUUGGAGGACCUGUAUGCCGAGCGAAUACGAUACACAAGGGACAUUUCUGAGGUGAGUGUCAUUUUAUUUGCAAAUAAAUUCUUGCAAGAAUUUGGGCAUAUUCUCAAUUGUGAUUUGACCAGCAGUGGAUUUGUGACUGGAGGUUAGGGUACAUUUGUUUAUACAGUUAAUGGUAUAUGUUGUACUAAUAAACAUAGUUAAGGCUAAUCAUAAUUAGCAGUGCAGUUUAGCCAUUCUACCCUUUAGUGCAGCAUAGCAGUGGAUACGAAUGAUAACGUUUUAUUUGGCAAAUUGGCUCAGCUUGAGAAAGCUUUUUAUAUGAGCCAUGGAGAGGAAUAGCAUGAUACUUCCUAUGUGUUUAGCUGUAAACUACAUUGUUGUUUGUAUUUAUUAAACUGGAUAAAUAUUAAUAAUUUAGCAGGGUACUUGACUGGCCCGUCUUAUUGUCUGAUCUUCGUAUAUAUAUUUGGUUAGUUACUUUCUUUUGAUACCUUUUUUCCUUUUUUAAAAUAGCCCAAUACAAUUGUAGUACACAGAGACGUAGCUAUCCACUGCCUUGGAGAGAAGGAAGAGGACCGUUUUCAAGGAAAUUUAGAGUAAGUAAUUCAACAUCUUGAAAGAAAAUGAAAACCACAUUGGGCAGUGUAAAUACACAGGGCAGAAACCUGCUCCUUGUUGAUUAAAAAUGUAAGUAUAUUACACUACAUGGAAUGGGAAAAUACUUCCAAUGUAUUAAUAAAUCAAUGUAUUUUUUCAUUUAAUUUACAAGAACACAGAAGUGUUUGAGGCAGGCCUCGCUUGACAUCUUUGAUAGUGACUGCUGCUGUUUGUUACAGUUUUUGUAAAAUUAAUCUAAAUGUCUUUAAUGUGUAAAAAAGACUGCAGGACCUUGAGAAGAAUGGUGGCCAUGUAUGUGACAAUUUAAAUUUGUGUUGUCAUUGUUUUCAAAGUUUUAAAUAUUGUGUGUUCAAACACUGUUAAACUGCAGUUCAACAUAAAAACAGUUAAUUGCCAAACA